rnacentral:pre_miRNA from 1 species
AGUGGGACUGCUGGAUCAUAUGGCAGAUCUUUUAAUUUUUUGAGGAAUCUUCACACUUUCUCCCAUAAUAGCUGCACCAUUUUGUACACCCACCAACAGU